AUUGAACGCUGGCGGCAGGCCUAACACAUGCAAGUCGAGCGAGCGGCGGACGGGUGAGUAAUGUCUGGGAAACUGCCUGAUGGAGGGGGAUAACUACUGGAAACGGUAGCUAAUACCGCAUACCAUCAGAUGUGCCCAGAUGGGAUUAGCUAGUAGGUGGGGUAACGGCUCACCUAGGCGACGAUCCCUAGCUGGGCUGAGAGGAUGACCAGCCACACUGGACCGGAGAACCGGGCCAGACUCCUACGGGAGGCAGCAGGGGGGAAUAUUGAACAAUGGGCGCAAGCCUGAUGCAGCCAUGCCGCGUGUGUGAAGAAGGCCUUCGGGUUGUAAAGCACUUUCAGCGGGGAGGCGUUACCCGCAGAAGAAGCACCGGCUAACUCCGUGCCAGCAGCCGCGUAAUAC
rnacentral:rRNA from 1 species